rnacentral:rRNA from 1 species
ACACGACCGUACCGCAAACCGACACUGGUGCGCGAGAUGAGUAUUCUCAGGCGCUUGAGAGAACUCGGGAGAAGGAACUCGGCAAAUUGACACCGUAACUUCGGAAGAAGGUGUGCCUUUAGUAGGUGAAGUCCCUCGCGGAUGGAGCCCAAUGAGGUUGCAAAAAAUCGGUGGCUGCGACUGUUUAAUAAAAACACAGCACUCUGCAAACACGAAAGUGGACGUAUAGGGUGUGACGCCUGCCCGGUGCUGGAAGAUUAAGUGAUGGGGUGCAAGCUCUUGAUCGAAGUCCCAGUAAACGGCGGCCGUAACAAUAACGGUCCUAAGGUAGCGAAAUUCCUUGUCGGGUAAGUUCCGACCUGCACGAAUGGCGUAACGAUGGCCACACUGUCUCCUCCCGAGACUCAGCGAAGUUGAAAUGUUUGUGAUGAUGCAAUCUCCCCGCGGAAAGACGGAAAGACCCCAUGAACCUUUACUGUAGCUUUGUAUUGGACUUUGAACGGAUCUGUGUAGGAUAGGUGGGAGGCUUUGAAGCCGGGUCGCUAGAUCUGGUGGAGCCAACGUUGGAAUACCACCCUGGUGCGUUUGAGGUUCUAACCUAGGUCCGUAAUCCGGAUCGGGGACAGUGCAUGGUAGGCAGUUUGACUGGGGCGGUCUCCUCCCAAAGCGUAACGGAGGAGUUCGAAGGUACGCUAGUUACGGUCGGACAUCGUGACGAUAGUGCAAUGGCAUAAGCGUGCUUAACUGCGAGACUGACAAGUCGAGCAGAUGCGAAAGCAGGACAUAGUGAUCCGGUGGUUCUGUAUGGAAGGGCCAUCGCUCAACGGAUAAAAGGUACUCUGGGGAUAACAGGCUGAUACCGCCCAAGAGUUCAUAUCGACGGCGGUGUUUGGCACCUCGAUGUCGGCUCAUCUCAUCCUGGGGCUGUAGCCGGUCCCAAGGGUAUGGCUGUUCGCCAUUUGAAGAGGUACGUGAGCUGGGUUUAAAACGUCGUGAGACAGUUUGGUCCCUAUCUUCCGUGGGCGCUGCAGAUUUGAGGAAGCCUGCUCCUAGUACGAGAGGACCGGAGUGGACGCACCUCUGGUGUACCUGUUGUCACGCCAGUGGCAUUGCAGGGUAGCUAAGUGCGGAAGAGAUGACCGCUGAAAGCAUCUAAGCGGGAAACUCGUUUCAAGAUGAGAUCUCCGGGGCCUUGAGCCCCCUGAAGAGUCGUUCUAGACCAGGACGUUGAUAGGUCAGGUGUGGAAGCGCAGUAAAGCGUUAAGCUAACUGAUACUAAUUGCUCGUGCGGCUUGACC